AGUGAACGCUGGCGGUAGGCCUAACACAUGCAAGUCGAACGGCAGCACAGUAAGAGCUUGCUCUUACGGGUGGCGAGUGGCGGACGGGUGAGGAAUACAUCGGAAUCUACUUUUUCGUGGGGGAUAACGUAGGGAAACUUACGCUAAUACCGCAUACGACCUGCGGGUGAAAGCAGGGGAUCUUCGGACCUUGCGCGAUUGAAUGAGCCGAUGUCGGAUUAGCUAGUUGGCGGGGUAAAGGCCCACCAAGGCGACGAUCCGUAGCUGGUCUGAGAGGAUGAUCAGCCACACUGGAACCGAGACACGGUCCAGACUCCUACGGGAGGCAGCAGUGGGGAAUAUUGGACAAUGGGCGCAAGCCUGAUCCAGCCAUACCGCGUGGGUGAAGAAGGCCUUCGGGUUGUAAAGCCCUUUUGUUGGGAAAGAAAAGCAGCAGGUUAAUACCCCGCUGUUCUGACGGUACCCAAAGAAUAAGCACCGGCUAACUUCGUG
rnacentral:rRNA from 1 species